CGUUCUGAGCCUGUUAUUUUCAUGAAAACAAAAACCAGGCGUGAUUUCGAAGAAUGCGACUUGCAGCCCAUUUUCUGGGAACCAGUUGAGGAUCCCCCUGGACUGAUAAGUUACCUGCAUCCCCCUCAGCGCGAGUCUCAGUAAAGCCUGGCUUGGAUUGCUCCUCUGGCCUGUUAUCAAUUUCUAUUGAUUAAGGAGAUCAAGAAGCCAGGGAGGAUGGCUCACCCCAACUUCCUGGGACAGAAGCUCCUGCCCUCCAGACCUCCAGACCUCCUUCAUCUUGCUAUUCAUCUGCAUCCUUUGUAACAAACUGAUAAACAUAAGUGAAGUGUUUCCCUGAGUUCUGGGAGCCACCAUGGUAUAUUAUCAAACCUGAGGAGGGGGGUCUCGGGAACCCCCUGAUUUACAGCCGGUUGUCAGAAAUACAGGUGACAGCUUGGGACUUGUGAUUGGCGUCUGAUGUCGCGCCAGCAUUGUGGGACUGAGCUUUUAACCUGCGGGGUCUGCCCUUACCCUGGGUAAUUAGUGUCAGAAUUGAACUGAAUUGUUGGACAGCCAGCUGGUGUCUGGAGAGUUGGAGACCUGGU